GUACAUGCCGUAUUAAGGCGAAACCGCGAAUGGCUCAUUAAAUCRGUUAUGGUUCCUUGGAUCGUACAUAAUUACUUGGAUAACUGUGGUAAUUCUAGAGCUAAUACAUGCMKCAGAGCUCCGACCUUCGGGGACGAGCGCUUUUAUUAGACCAAAACCAAUCUGGCUCUGCCAGUSUCKCGUGGUGACUCUGAAUAACUUUGGGCUGAUCGCACGGGCCCGUCCCGGCGACGUAUCUUUCAAGUGUCUGCCUUAUCAACUUUCGAUGGUAGGUUACGCGCCUACCAUGGUCGUAACGGGUAACGGGGAAUCAGGGUUCGAUUCCGGAGAGGGAGCCUGAGAAACGGCUACCACAUCCAAGGAAGGCAGCAGGCGCGCAAAUUACCCACUCCCAGAACGGGGAGGUAGUGACGAAAAAUAACAAUACGGGACUCUUUUGAGACCCCGUAAUUGGAAUGAGUACACUCUAAACYCUUUAACGAGGAUCCAUUGGAGGGCAAGUCUGGUGCCAGCMGCCGCGGUAACUCCAGCUCCAAUAGCGUAUAUUAAAGUUGUUGCGGUUAAAAAGCUCGUAGUUGGAUCUCAGUUCCAGACGGGUGGUCCGCCUACCGGUGGUUACUGCCUGUUCUGAACAGCCAGCCGGUUUCUCUUGAUGAUCUUCACCGGUUGUCUWGGGUGACCRGCAAGUUUACUUUGAAAAAAUUAGAGUGCUCAAAGCAGGCGCGACGCCUGAAUAAUGGUGCAUGGAAUAAUGGAAUAGGACCUCGUUUCUAUUUUGUUGGUUUUCGGAACRCGAGGUAAUGAUUAAGAGGGACAGACGGGGGCAUUCGUAUUGCGACGCUAGAGGUGAAAUUCUUGGACCGUCGCAGGACGAACUACUGCGAAAGCAUUUGCCAAGAAUGUUUCCAUUAAUCAAGAACGAAAGUUAGAGGUUCGAAGGCGAUCAGAUACCGCCCUAGUUCUAACCAUAAACGAUGCCAGCCAGCGAUCCGGCUGUGUUCCUCAAAUGWCACGCCGGGCAGCUUCMGGGAAACCAAAGCUUUUGGGUUCCGGGGGAAGUAUGGUUGCAAAGCUGAAACUUAAAGGAAUUGACGGAAGGGCACCACCAGGAAUGGAGCCUGCGGCUUAAUUUGACUCAACACGGGAAAACUCACCCGGCCCGGACACAGGAAGGAUUGACAGAUUAAGAGCUCUUUCUUGAUUCUGUGGGUGGUGGUGCAUGGCCGUUCUUAGUUGGUGGAGCGAUUUGUCUGGUUAAUUCCGAUAACGAACGAGACUCUAGCCUACUAAAUAGACGUUCCGAUCAUCUMCGUCGGACGUUCUUCUUAGAG
rnacentral:rRNA from 1 species